UACGUAGGGGGCAAGCGUUAUCCGGAUUUACUGGGUGUAAAGGGAGCGUAGACGGCAAUGCAAGUCUGAAGUGAAAGGACGGGGCUUAACCCUGUGACUGCUUUGGAAACUGUGUAGCUUGAGUGCCGGAGGGGUAAGCGGAAUUCCUAGUGUAGCGGUGAAAUGCGUAGAUAUUAGGAGGAACACCAGUGGCGAAGGCGGCUUACUGGACGGUAACUGACGUUGAGGCUCGAAAGCGUGGGGAGCAAACAGG
rnacentral:rRNA from 1 species